AUUGAACGCUGGCGGCAGGCCUAACACAUGCAAGUCGAACGAGUGGCGGACGUGUGAAUAAUGUCUGGGACACUGCCCGAUGGAGGGGGAUCACUACGGGACACGAUCGCUAAUACCGCAUCCCAUCGGAUGUCCCCAGAUGGGAUGAGCUAGUAGGUGGGGUAACGGCUCACCUAGGCGACGAUCCCUAGCUGGUCUGAGAGGAUGACCAGCCACACUGGAACUGAGACACGGUCCAGACUCCUACGGGAGGCAGCAGUGGGGAAUAUUGCACAAUGGGCGAAAGCCUGAUGCAGCCAUGCCGCGUGUAUGAAGAAGGCCUUCGGGUUGUAAAGUACUUUCAGCGAGGAGGCGUUACUCGCAGAAGAAGCACCGGCUAACUCCGUGCCAGCAGCCGCGGUAAUAC
rnacentral:rRNA from 1 species